AGGUGUUAAAUUGCAUUUGGACUUUUAUGGCUAAACAAAACAAAUAUUUCAAGAGGGGUGAGGAGAAUGAGCUGACAGAUUCUCAGUAAUGCAGCCAAGGAUGUGAAGAGGCAGGUCCGGAGCUUGCUGGAAGGACCAACUGUGCACACUCACGUUGGCAAGCUCCGGAAUCCCAGCUGAGCCAAGGCCCUGGCUUUACUUUACCUGGGAGAAGAGAUCAGACCUCUACCCUCCGAAAUAGCUGACCAUUCAUCUGGCAAAUAAUGGAACACCCUGACUGAUUUCCUUGUGUUGGCUGUGUUAAAAUAGCUUAAUAAUCUCCAUGCAACAGAACUCCCUUGAGUAAAUGUGAGUUUCAGACCCAUCAGUGUUUGUGGCAAUUAUUCUGAACUGUUUUCCUUUAGCUAACCUGCUCGCAUUUCUAUCCUUCCCCUCACU
rnacentral:lncRNA from 1 species